GAAAAUAAAAGACACUUGAAAAGAUAAAUAGUAAGCAGUCCAUGAAAAAACAUAAGCAGAUCAGUCUUCAAGUCGGCCAAAAAUCCUAGGAAUGCCUGGCUCUCAUCGCAUCGGUUGCCCAGAGGAACCUGCUAUCCUGCCUGAAGAAGGUCGGGUCAUGUGGAUAGUUCUUGCCAACUGAUUGGAAGAGGAAGUUUUGUGCAACAUCUGGUCUAAAUCAGCAAAGCGUGCAAGAAUGUGCUGGGUGAGUGUGGGCAAAGGGCCAGAAGAGAACUUCAAGCUUAGUCAAGCGACAAAUCACUAAGGGAUGUGUAAGCCACAGCUACAUUAAGGACUUUGAAUUUUAUUUGAAAUAGAAGAUAAUCAUUGCUCAU